UGCCCAGACUCCUACGGGAGGCAGCAGUGAGGAAUAUUGGUCAAUGGCCGCAGGGCUGAACCAGCCAAGUCGCGUGAGGGAUGACGGUCCUAUGGAUUGUAAACCUCUUUUGUCAGGGAGCAAAGGGCGCCACGUGUGGCGCUUUGCGAGUACCUGAAGAAAAAGCAUCGGCUAACUCCGUGCCAGCAGCCGCGGUAAUACGGAGGAUGCGAGCGUUAUCCGGAUUUAUUGGGUUUAAAGGGAGCGUAGGUGGAUUGUUAAGUCAGUUGUGAAAGUUUGCGGCUCAACCGUAAAAUUGCAGUUGAAACUGGCAGUCUUGAGUACAGUAGAGGUGGGCGGAAUUCGUGGUGUAGCGGUGAAAUGCAUAGAUAUCGCGCAGAACUCCGAUUGCGAAGGCAGCAUGCCGGCUCCACACUGACGCUGAGGCACGAAAGCGUGGGUAUCGAACAGGAUUAGAUACCCCUGUA
rnacentral:rRNA from 1 species